CUCCCCAGGGGUCGGUCACCAGCCCAGCAUCGAGGCCCGGUUCUCCACAGGCUGCAGGGAGGCAAGGGCUUUGCAGGCCCUGCUCAUUUGGCCAAAUACUGCUCCAGAUGCGCUCUCCAACCCAAAUUAUACAGAGUGGCUCAAGUAAGUGCCCUCAGUCCUUCGCUGCUCUAUUGCUGGUUAUCUUUCACAGCAUUCUUGGCUUCCAGAAUGCACCAAGCAAAAACGCAAUGUUUUACCCUGCAGAUAUUCCUAGGCUCUUCAGCAGGAGCAUCUGGGACAAGCUGGCUUGGGGAGAAGCAGAUCCCUGCCCAGGAAAGUUGAGGUACUUUUCAAGCUCCAUGGUUCCAGGAAAUAUCCCAGGCAACUAGGACCAAGGAUGUCAUGAAAAUCACAACUAUCUCAAGAGGACUCUCCAGACAGAAGGAGGAAAAACAAUCUACACACUACAAUGAAUAUUUUAUCAUAAAGCAGAGUUGUCCCCUUAGAUCAUGACCUGACCUGCUUAGGAGAUGGACAACAAGUUUAACAAAAUAUAAAAAUGCAUUUAAAGGUUGAAAAAUAGUACUCCAAUAAGUUUCCAUAUGUUAUGGCUUAUAUCUAGAUAUCCCCCCAAAGCUUCAUGCUGUCAUAGGUGGCUGGGUCUAGGGUGUGUGGUGCUGGAAUCAAGAGUAUGUGACUACUAAAUUAGUC
rnacentral:lncRNA from 1 species